rnacentral:rRNA from 1 species
GUGGGGAAUAUUGGACAAUGGGCGCAAGCCUGAUCCAGCCAUGCCGCGUGUGUGAAGAAGGCCUUCGGGUUGUAAAGCACUUUUGUUGGGAAAGAAAUCCUGUCGGCUAAUACCCGGCGGGGAUGACGGUACCCAAAGAAUAAGCACCGGCUAACUUCGUGCCAGCAGCCGCGGUAAUACGAAGGGUGCAAGCGUUACUCGGAAUUACUGGGCGUAAAGCGUGCGUAGGUGGUUCGUUAAGUCAGAUGUGAAAGCCCCGGGCUCAACCUGGGAAUUGCAUUUGAUACUGGCGGACUAGAGUGCGGUAGAGGAGAGUGGAAUUCCCGGUGUAGCAGUGAAAUGCGUAGAGAUCGGGAGGAACAUCAGUUGCGAAGGCGGCUCUCUGGACCAGCACUGACACUGAGACACGAAAGCGUGGGGAGCAAACAGGAUUAGAAACCCGGGUAGUCC